rnacentral:lncRNA from 1 species
UGGAAGAGAAACAGGGUGUGGCAGUUGGUACCGCUGUCUUGUACAUCGCUAUACAUAUGCAGUGCGUCUCUGAGAUUACUUAUAGCUUAUAGCCUUCUUGCCUUCCAUGUAAUAUAUACCGCAUACAUUACCAGAGCUUUAUCUCUUACCUAGGUUCAGAUGUAGCUUUAUCUCUUACCUAGGUUCAGAUGUGCUUAUAGGUAACUAUUAAGUUUCUAGGGGAAUACGUUUGCCUGCCUGAUAUGUACUCUUAACUACUUGCGUGACCAUCAUUGUUCAUUUUAUCUUGAUGAGUGAUUCUUUGUCCCACUGGAAAAUCU